ensembl:lincRNA
UGCGUGCGCGCGGGAAAGGUUGGCGCGCGCGGGAACAGUUUUGGCGCGCGCGGGAGAAACUUAGCCGCGCGCGGGAAAAGCUUUGGGCGCGCACGGGAAGGGUUUGUAAAUAAAGAACCCGGGAAUGUGCCCUCUUGUGUCCGCUUUGUGGAGAUCAAGCAACAGAGGUCGGCUAAUUCCGGGCCUCAUGGCUCCCGACAGGUGGGGAGCUUCUGAGACUGGCCAGGAGAAGGAAUGUCACAAGGUAGAAGAGAGGAGGCUAAUUUUGUUGUCAUGUGAAAACAAGCAUAUGUAG